AACGUAGGUGACAAGCGUUAUCCGGAUUUACUGGGCGUAAAGCGCGUUCAGGCGGUUUGGCAAGUCGGGCAUGAAAUCUCCUGGCUCAACCAGGAGGCGCUGUCCGAUACUUCCAGACUUGAGGGCAGUAGAGGGUGGUGGAAUUCCUGGUGUAGAGGUGAAAAUUCGUUGAUAUCAGGAGGAACACCGGUGGCGAAGGCGGCCACC
rnacentral:rRNA from 1 species